rnacentral:rRNA from 1 species
CCCUUAGAUGUUCUGGGCCGCACGCGCGCUACACUGAUGCAUUCAACGAGCCUAUCCUUGACCGACAGGUCCGGGUAAUCUUUGAAUCUGCAUCGUGACGGGGAUAGAUUAUUGCAAUUAUUAAUCUUCAACGAGGAAUGCCUAGUAGGCGCAAGUCAUCAGCUUGCGUCGAUUACGUCCCUGCCCUUUGUACACACCGCCCGUCGCUCCUACCGAUUGGGUGAGCCGAUGAAACUCUCGGAUGUAGGCUAUUCAUAGCCCGCAGAAGAGAUUUGAAUCGUAGCGCUUAGAGGAAGGAGAAGUCGUAACA